rnacentral:rRNA from 1 species
AGCGGGAAAUCCGUGACGGAUCCUUCGGGUGACGGAUCGGAUGGAGAGCGGCGGACGGGUGAGUAACGCGUAGGUAACCUGCCCUGUACAGAGGGAUAGCCACUGGAAACGGUGAUUAAUACCUCAUAAUGCCGGAUCUGCACAUGCAGGACCGGUCAAAGUUUUUUCGGUACAGGAUGGACCUGCGUCUGAUUAGCUAGUUGGUGGGGUAACGGCUCACCAAGGCGACGAUCAGUAGCCGACCUGAGAGGGUGAUCGGCCACAUUGGAACUGAGACACGGUCCAAACUCCUACGGGAGGCAGCAGUGGGGAAUAUUGCACAAUGGGGGAAACCCUGAUGCAGCAACGCCGCGUGAACGAAGAAGGCUCUUGGGUCGUAAAGUUCUGUUCUGAGGGAAGAAGAAAGUGACGGUACCUCAGGAGAAAGCCCCGGCUAACUACGUGCCAGCAGCCGCGGUAAUACGUAGGGGGCAAGCGUUGUCCGGAAUUAUUGGGCGUAAAGAGUACGUAGGCGGUCUGGUAAGCGCAAGGUGAAAGGCAUAGGCUCAACCAAUGUCAGCCUUGCGAACUGUCAGACUUGAGUGCAGGAGGGGAGAGUGGAAUUCCUAGUGUAGCGGUGAAAUGCGUAGAUAUUAGGAGGAACACCAGUGGCGAAGGCGACUUUCUGGACUGUAACUGACGCUGAGGUACGAAAGCGUGGGGAGCAAACAGGAUUAGAUACCCUGGUAGUCCACGCCGUAAACGAUGAGCACUAGGUGUCGGGGCCGCAGGGCUUCGGUGCCGCAGUUAACGCAUUAAGUGCUCCGCCUGGGGAGUACGCACGCAAGUGUGCAACUCAA